rnacentral:rRNA from 1 species
GAUGAACGCUGGCGGCGUGCCUAAUACAUGCAAGUCGAGCGAACGGACGAGAAGCUUGCUUCUCUGAUGUUAGCGGCGGACGGGUGAGUAACACGUGGAUAACCUACCUAUAAGACUGGGAUAACUUCGGGAAACCGUAGCUGAUACCGGAUAAUCUUUUGAACCGCAUGGUUCAAAAGUGAAAGACGGUCUUGCUGUCACUUAUAGAUGGAUCCGCGCUGCAUUAGCUAGUUGGUAAGGUAACGGCUUACCAAGGCAACGAUGCAUAGCCGACCUGAGAGGGUGAUCGGCGACACUGGAACUGAGACACGGUCCAGACUCCUACGGGAGGCAGCAGUAGGGAAUCUUCCGCAAUGGGCGAAAGCCUGACGGAGCAACGCCGCGUGAGUGAUGAAGGUCUUCGGAUCGUAAAACUCUGUUAUUAGGGAAGAACAUAUGUGUAAGUAACUGUGCACAUCUUGACGGUACCUAAUCAGAAAGCCACGGCUAACUACGUG